rnacentral:rRNA from 1 species
AGCAGUAGCCGCGGGAAUACGAAGGGGGCUAGCGUUGUUCGGAUUUACUGGGCGUAAAGGGCGCGUAGGCGGGCGAAUCAGUCAGGGGUGAAAUCCCAAGGCUCAACCUUGGAACUGCCUUUGAUACUGUUUGUCUUGAGUUCGAGAGAGGUAAGUGGAACUGCGAGUGUAGAGGUGAAAUUCGUAGAUAUUCGCAAGAACACCAGUGGCGAAGGCGGCUUACUGGCUCGAAACUGACGCUGAGGCGCGAAAGCGUGGGGAGCAAACAGGAUUAGAUACCCCCGUAGUCCCUGUCUCUUAUAC